rnacentral:rRNA from 1 species
GAACGUUGGCGGCGUGCCUAACACAUGCAAGUCGAGGGGCAGCAGGCUACUACCUUCGGGUAGUAGUGCUGGCGACCGGCAAACGGGUGAGUAACACGUAGCUAACCUACCCAUAGGUUGGGGAUAACCAUCCGAAAGGGUGGCUAAUACCCAAUAAAGAGGGGACUCCAAAGCCCUUACGGGUGCCUAUGGAUGGGGCUGCGUCCCAUCAGCUAGUUGGUGAGGUAAAGGCUCACCAAGGCUACGACGGGUAACCGGUCUGAGAGGAUGAUCGGUCACAGUGGGACUGAGACACGGCCCGCACCCCUACGGGGGGCAGCAGUGGGGAAUAUUGGGCAAUGGCCGAAAGGCUGACCCAGCAACGCCGCGUGGUGGAAGAAGCCCUUCGGGGUGUAAACACCUUUUCUGGGGGAAGACAAUGACGGUACCCCAGGAAUAAGGGACGGCUAACUACGUGCCAGCAGCCGCGGUAAUACGUAGGUCCCGAACGUUGCGCGAAAUUACUGGGCGUAAAGGGUCCGUAGGCGGUCUGGUAAGU